GUCAGUCUGACAGAUAACUGUAGUAGACUUAGGAUCUACUUAUGUAGGUGGUAGCCCUACGGCUGAUU
rnacentral:tRNA from 1 species